AGACAAUAUCUCUUUUUGUUAAUAUGAUGGAAUUGCUGUGUUUGGGGUUUAUUUUGCUCUCUUUUCUUAAGUCCAUAACAGGAUUAGACAUCACACAGACACCUGCAUUACUUAGUGUAUCUCAGGGUAAAGAGACUCAGUGGAAAUAAUCUCCCCAUUCAGUGCCAGUAAAUACACAAUGGCACGUCCUGAGGUAAAAGAAUCUACACUGAAGAUUGUGGAUCUAAAGGAGGACUCGGGUGUAUACUUCUGUGCCUCAAGUA